rnacentral:rRNA from 1 species
UACGGAGGGGGCUAGCGUUGUUCGGAAUUACUGGGCGUAAAGCGCACGUAGGCGGCUUUGUAAGUUAGAGGUGAAAGCCCGGAGCUCAACUCCGGAAUUGCCUUUAAGACUGCAUCGCUCGAAUCAUGGAGAGGUGAGUGGAAUUCCGAGUGUAGAGGUGAAAUUCGUAGAUAUUCGGAAGAACACCAGUGGCGAAGGCGGCUCACUGGCCCGGUACUGACGCUGAGGUGCGAAAGCGUGGGGAGCAAACAGG